rnacentral:rRNA from 1 species
UACGUAGGUGGCAAGCGUUGUCCGGAUUUAUUGGGUUUAAAGGGUGCGUAGGCGGUCCCAUAAGUCAGUGGUGAAAUACUCUAGCUUAACUAGAGGGGUGCCAUUGAUACUGCGGGACUUGAGUGGAAUUGAAGUGGGCGGAAUUGACGGUGUAGCGGUGAAAUGCUUAGAUAUCGUCAAGAACACCGAUAGUGAAGACAGCUCACUAAGCUCAAACUGACGCUGAGGCACGAAAGUGUGGGGAUCAAACAGG